GAUGAACGCUGGCGGCGUGCCUAAUACAUGCAAGUCGAGCGAACAGACGAGGAGCUUGCUCUUCUGACGUUAGCGGCGGACGGGUGAGUAACACGUGGAUAACCUACCUAUAAGACUGGGAUAACUUCGGGAAACCGGAGCUAAUACCGGAUAAUAUAUUGAACCGCAUGGUUCAAUAGUGAAAGACGGUUUUGCUUUCACUUAUAGAUGGAUCCGCGCCGCAUUAGCUAGUUGGUAAGGUAACGGCUUACCAAGGCAACGAUGCGUAGCCGACCUGAGAGGGUGAUCGGCCACACUGGAACUGAGACACGGUCCAGACUCCUACGGGAGGCAGCAGUAGAGAAUCUUCCGAGAUGGGCGAAAGCCUGACGGAGCAACGCCGCGUGAGUGAUGAAGGUCUUCGGAUCGUAAAACUCUGUUAUUAGGGAAGAACAAAUGUGUAAGUAACUAUGCACGUCUUGACGGUACCUAAUCAGAAAGCCACGGCUAACUACGUG
rnacentral:rRNA from 1 species